GACGAACGCUGGCGGCGUGCUUAACACAUGCAAGUCGAACGGAAAGGCCCUGCUUUUGUGGGGUGCUCGAGUGGCGAACGGGUGAGUAACACGUGAGUAACCUGCCCUUGACUUUGGGAUAACUUCAGGAAACUGGGGCUAAUACCGGAUAGGAGCUCCUGCUGCAUGGUGGGGGUUGGAAAGUUUCGGCGGUUGGGGAUGGACUCGCGGCUUAUCAGCUUGUUGGUGGGGUAGUGGCUUACCAAGGCUUUGACGGGUAGCCGGCCUGAGAGGGUGACCGGCCACAUUGGGACUGAGAUACGGCCCAGACUCCUACGGGAGGCAGCAGUGGGGAAUAUUGCACAAUGGGCGGAAGCCUGAUGCAGCAACGCCGCGUGCGGGAUGACGGCCUUCGGGUUGUAAACCGCUUUCGCCUGUGACGAAGCGUGAGUGACGGUAAUGGGCAAAGAAGCACCGGCGAACUACGU
rnacentral:rRNA from 1 species